GUGACCUGGCUGUGGGUGAGCUCUGCUGCUGCUCCAGGACAGGGGGUGCUCACCCCACCCUGGCUUUGGGUCCCCCUGAUACUCCAUUUAUUGACAUGCUGGCCUUUAUUUGGUGCAGUGUUUUUAGGUUUCAUCAGAUGAACUUCAGCAUUACAGCAUGUGGGGCUUUGGGAUUGCUCUGUUUUUUUCUGAAGACCAAUUUGUGUAAGAAGCUUUGAGAUGUUGCUGCACAGACACGGCAUAUUAGAAUUGGAUGAGGAGCUUUUUCUCACUUUCCAGGCAUUUUGUAGCCUUUUUUAUCCAUAUAAUUCAGCCCCAGGCACAGCAUGAGAGCAGUUUUCACCUGUAGACUUGCUAGCUUUGCUUCUCCAGCUUUCAAUCCUUGCUUUUUCCUGUGGCCUGCUGCUCUGUUUGGCAGCUCUGGCUCAGCAGUCUAAGGGCAGUUCCAGUGGCCUGGGCAGCACAAAGGAGGCAAUACUUAGCUGGCAGUGGCAGGAAGACAUCUGCUAUAUUGUGCUCUCUUCAUUUUGCCAUCCAGGGUAGGAUUUAUCCCAAGUAGGAUUUACCCUGGACAAGCAGAUGUCUGGUGAGUUGAGAUCACCCUUAGAACAAAACUUGUUUUUCCCCACUGACCAUAGAGGAAGCAGUGGAAGGAAGAGCUUUGGCUGUCUUCCAGGAAUUUCCAUCUUCUCUAAUUUCAGACACUUGUCUCACAUCUAAUAACUCUUCCAGGUUGUUGUCAGUGCAUCAAACAACACAGGUGAUAUUCAUUUGUGCCUCUGGUAACAGGAUGUGAGCAAGAAGAAAUGCCUUUCCCUCAUCUUUGGAUGAGGUUUCUCCCUGGCUUUGCACUGCAGCAAAUGCUCUGCUGCUUCCAUCAUGUUUCUCCUCCACCCAAAUCUCAACACAUGAAUUUUUGAGUUAACAGAUCUUUCUCAACUUCAGUUUCAGAUAAAUAAGAAAGAAACAGAAUUUCAAAACACAAACCAAAGGAUUCAGACAAGCUUUUUCUCCCCCCUAUUCUCCUACAUACAUUGCAAAACUUCUCCAGCUAUAGAAAAGUUAGGGACAAAAGAGAAAUGAAAUUCUGCCUUCUGCCACUAACUUAUUGAAGCUGGCAAAGCUUUGAAAAUGGAAAAGCUGAGACAGAAGGAGGAGAAUGGGAAGGAGAAUAGGAAGAAAACACAGUUCCUACAGAAUUUUUAUUGCACUAAGAUAAAGAAGAAGAAAAUGCAGGAGGAAAAAUGUCAAAACUCAAAUUCUUCCUUUUUCAAAAGCAAGUGAAAGUGUCUUUUACUUUUAUUUUUCUGAAGCAAGUGCUUUUGCAAAAAAAGUUUGUAUUAGGAGAAAGGAAAAUCAAUAAAAUAAUUUUCUCUUUUUUUGCCUAGUUGUGACUGCUGUCACAUUAACAACCUACAAUGGCAGUAAUAUUUGUAUGCUGCUGCAGAUGAGAUAUCUCUAUUUUUAAUGAUUUUGGGCCCUUCCUCUACUGCAUCUCAAGUCCUGUUACUGAGUAUGCUAUGUUUAGAAUGCUAUGACUUAGCAAAACAAAGAAAAAAUCCAUCCUUU